rnacentral:lncRNA from 1 species
UUGUCAACACACCUCUACCUACUUUUUCUAAGACCCCCUUUUUUCUGGCAUGAUCUGAUAGAGGUUUGGUGAAUUUUUAUGCCCCCUCUCCCAAAUGUCUAGAAUAUUAUAAGGUGUCAAUUAAGAAUUAUAUUUUUUAAAGUAGGAAGAUAGUUUUCCUCUAAUGUAAGUGCCUAUCUACAUCCAUCAUUUGGGGUAUCGUUUUCUAGAAGUCAAGGUCAUACAAGUGGCAUCAGGGCUAUGCUUUGGGUGUCACAUGCAUUCUUGAAGGUUUUGCUCUGAUAUCUGCCUGAGAUCAUAUUCCUGUCAGUUUGCAGUCCCAACAAGACAGAGGACAAGUGCUAUGGAACAAGAGUUUAUCAUCCCUAGAAGUGUUUGAGUGGAAUUUGAAAGACAAUUCAUUGAGGAUGCCAUAGAUAAAAUUCACUCUUCUGUGAGGGGUUUGGACUAGAUUACAGAUCAGAUAUCACAUCUUCAAGGAAUUCUCCCAUCUAUCCUCCCAACAGCUAGGUGAGUGCAUCAUCUCUACUUCUCUACCCCAGUUUCAGUGCUAGCAAGUAGAUAAAGAGUGAGAAACCUGGACACACAGUCGCGGAGCUCCCAAAAUUGAGAAAUCAUGCCCAGAAUAUAUUUCACCACUGUAAAUUUCACCAGCCUUGGAAAUCUCCCUGACCAAAUUAAUCCCUAAGCCUCCACAGCCAGGAUGCAGGAAAAUUGAAGAAAAUGACUCCAGUGGCUGCUUCACCAUCUUCACCUUGAAAUGAAAGUCCGAUAGGUCAGGACUUGAGGCAGCUGCUCACUGCUGGGGAAGAAGGAGCAUUCUAGCACUCAUUUUCAGGGCUCUGAUUGCUUCUCCUCACUUCUUUGAAGUUUCAAUCACACAAGUUAUUUUCUCAUAGCCUCUCCCAUAGC